GGGUUAGGGAUUGUUUUGCAAUGAUCACCUGUCCUGAUUUGAAGAUUGCAUGACAAGACACUAUUAAAACCUUGUUUACCCUAUGGAGUAAGAGGAAUUACCCAUCUGAGUACAGGCUCAUCUGUUCCUGAACUGAGAGACCUGUGCAGCACAGCAAUGCCAUAAAGCAAAAACUCCUUGCUUCUUUCCAUACAAUGCCUAACAGUCACGGCUCGGUGCUGCAAGUGCUGACUCAUAGGCAACUAUUUUGUCUAUUCUGGUGAGGUAUGUUGUAUAAGCAAAAUGAGAGUUUGAUUAUGUCUUUCAUGUAGUUAAUAAACACGUGGUUGUCAGAAA